UUACUCUUGUCAAAUGUAAUGCUUAUUUACUCACAUUGUUUUGAAUUAAUCAUAAAUUAUCUCAAAGCUUCAAGAUUUCAAUGAUGUGAUUGUUUACUUUUAGAAUGACAUUGUAGGGUUAAGCGUGAGAGGACAGAUCUGGGUGAUUUGAAAUAUAAAAUAGGGGAAAAUAAGUAGGCCAGAUCUG